rnacentral:rRNA from 1 species
AGCGAACGCUGGCGGCAGGCUUAACACAUGCAAGUCGAGCGGGCAUCCUUGUGGUGUCAGCGGCAGACGGGUGAGUAACGCGUGGGAACGUGCCCUUCGGUUCGGAAUAACUCAGGGAAACUUGAGCUAAUACCGGAUACGCCCUUUUGGGGAAAGGUUUACUGCCGAAGGAUCGGCCCGCGUCUGAUUAGCUAGUUGGUGAGGUUAUGGCUCACCAAGGCGACGAUCAGUAGCUGGUCUGAGAGGAUGAUCAGCCACACUGGGACUGAGACACGGCCCAGACUCCUACGGGAAGCAGCAGUGGGGAAUAUUGGACAAUGGGGGCAACCCUGAUCCAGCCAUGCCGCGUGAGUGAUGACGGCCUUAGGGUUGCAAAGCUCUUUUCUCCGGGACGAUAAUGACGGUACCGGAGGAAUAAGCCCCGGCUAACUUCGUG